rnacentral:ncRNA from 1 species
CCUGCUGAAUUUUAACAUAUUAGUCAGUGGAGGAAAACAAAACUAACCAGGAUUCCCUCAGUAAUGGUGAAUGAACAGGGAAGAGCCCAAUGCUUAAUUCCCACUCCGUGGUGGGGCAUGGGCCAUAUGGCAUACAGAAGACCCACUCCUGGUGCUGCACUCAGUGGGGGUCCAAGUCUUUUUGAUCAAGGUAUAGCCCAUGGAAUGUGUGAAGCUGGUAGCGGCCCCCAUUAUACAUGGACUGGAUCUUCUUGGAGGCAGGUUGUUUGCAAAUGCAGCCCCAAGUGGGUGCUAAACUCCAUGUACAGCUAAGUUCCAGCCUGAGACUGAUAGUCAACAAGUAUAUAAGGGAAAGUUAAAAAGAACUUUGAAGAGAGAGUUUAAGAGUGUUAAGUCCAGACUAGCUCCCUGGAGCCCUCAGGAUCAGCUGGAAUCAGGAUAAGUAAAACUCCUUGGUUUUUAGGGGGAGAAAUGAAAGAAUCAGGCAAACUUCCACAAGGCUCAACAAAGAUGUAUCAUCAGUUCUCAAGACCAAAGUCAUGAACUUCUCUGCUCUUCAUCCUGCCUCAAGGUGAGUCUGGUCUCUCUCACCUUACCCUCUAAAACUUGCCUACAAUUAUCUUAACACCAAAAAUUGAGCCUCCAUCACUGUGAGAAGAGCCAUUUAUCCAAACAUAUGCUAAUAAAGUCAUUGUCUCAUUUCAAAUAGUAAUUAGCCUUAAGUGCUUGGUGGUCUGAUUCAAAUAUACCUAUUCAAAGUUUCAGUCCUCUACAUCUCCCACUUUCUUUUGUUUUAGAAUGCAAGUGGUUAUACCAUCCCUGAUUUUUCUGGGAAUUGAGAACCUAAAAAGGAGGUGAUCACACCCUCCCUGACUUCUCAGGAAGAGAGAUGAAAAACACCAAAGGGAAGUGGGGAGUCAAAGCAUAUAUUAUUAGCAGGUUUCUGGGCUGAAGGGUAUUUCUAGAAACAGGU